rnacentral:tRNA from 1 species
GGUGUAGCUCGGUGGUAGAGUGCUUGCCUAGCUCAUGCAAGGCCCUGGGUUCAAUCCCCCACACAAGACA